rnacentral:misc_RNA from 1 species
CGCACCUUGCGCUCCUUGGUAUUCCGAGGAGCAUGCCUGUUUGAGUGUCAUGAAAUUCUCAAACCCAUAAGUCUUUGCGGGCUUACGGGCUUUGGACUUGGAGGCUUGUCGGCGUACUGCAAAGUCAUCGACUCCUCUCAAAUGCAUUAGCUUGAUUCCUUGCGGAUCGACUAUCGGUGUGAUAAUUGUCUACGCCGUUGGUCGUGAAGCGUUUAUGGCGAGCUUCUAAUCGUCUCUUAACGAGACAGCUUACAUUGACCUCUGACCUCAAAUCAGGUAGGACUACCCGCUGAACUUAA